GGUUAAAAAGCUCGUAGUUGGAUUUCUGUCGAGGGCGGCCGGUCCGCACUAUGUGCGUGUAUCUGGUUCGGUCUUGGCAUCCUCUUGGGGAACGUUUCUGUGCUUGAGUGCAUGGAGGCGGAAUUCAAGACUUUUACUUUGAGGAAAUUAGAGUGUUCACGGCAAGCUAUCGCUUUGAAUACAUUAGCAUGGAAUAAUAAUAUAGGGCGUAAGUUCUAUUUUGUUGGUUUCUAGGACAUACGCAAUGAUUAAUAGGGAUAAUUGGGGGCAUUCGUAUUAACGCGUCAGAGGUGGAAUUCUUAGAUUGCGUUACGACGAACUACUGCGAAAGCAUUUGCCAAGGAUGUUUUCAUUGAUCAAGAACGAAAGUAUGGGGAUCGAAGACGAUUAGAUACCGUCGUAGUCUAUACCAUAAACUAUGCCAACUAGGGAUUGGAGGUCGUUCUUUUUAUGACUCCUUCAGCAUCUUAUGAGAAAUCAAAGUCUUUGGGUUCCGGGGGGAGUAUGGUCGCAAGGCUGAAACUUAAAGGAAUUGACGGAAGGGCACCACCAGGAGUGGAGCCUGCGGCUUAAUUUGACUCAACACGGGAAAACUUACCAAGUCCAGACAUAGUAAGGAUUGACAGAUUGAUAGCUCUU
rnacentral:rRNA from 1 species